rnacentral:rRNA from 1 species
AUUGAACGCUGGCGGCAGGCCUAACACAUGCAAGUCGAGCGGAUGACGGGAGCUUGCUCCUUGAUUCAGCGGCGGACGGGUGAGUAAUGCCUAGGAAUCUGCCUGGUAGUGGGGGACAACGUUUCGAAAGGAACGCUAAUACCGCAUACGUCCUACGGGAGAAAGCAGGGGACCUUCGGGCCUUGCGCUAUCAGAUGAGCCUAGGUCGGAUUAGCUAGUUGGUGGGGUAAUGGCUCACCAAGGCGACGAUCCGUAACUGGUCUGAGAGGAUGAUCAGUCACACUGGAACUGAGACACGGUACAGACUCCUACGGGAGGCAGCAGUGGGGAAUAUUGGACAAUGGGCGAAAGCCUGAUCCAGCCAUGCCGCGUGUGUGAAGAAGGUCUUCGGAUUGUAAAGCACUUUAAGUUGGGAGGAAGGGCAGUAAGCUAAUACCUUGCUGUUUUGACGUUACCGACAGAAUAAGCACCGGCUAACUCUGUGCCAGCAGCCGCUGUAAUAC